rnacentral:rRNA from 1 species
AACGCGAAGAACCUUACCUGGGCUUGAAAGUUAGUGACCGGUCCUGAAAGGGAUCUUUCCGAAAGGACACGAAACUAGGUGCUGCAUGGCUGUCGUCAGCUCGUGCCGUGAGGUGUUGGGUUAAGUCCUGUAACGAGCGCAACCCCUAUCAUUAGUUGCCAGCGAGUAAUGUCGGGGACUCUAAUGAAACUGCCUGCGUAAGCAGUGAGGAAGGCGGGGACGACGUCAAGUCAUCACGGCCCUUACGUCCAGGGCUACACACGUGCUACAAUGGUCGACACAACGGGCAGCUACAUGGUAACAUGAUGCUAAUCUCUUAAAGUCGAUCUCAGUUCGGAUAGAGGUCUGCAAUUCGACCUCUUGAAGUUGGAUUCGCUAGUAAUCGCGCAUCAGCAAUGGCGCGGUGAAUACGUUCCCGGGCCUUGUACACACCGACUGUAC